rnacentral:rRNA from 1 species
AGUGAACGCUGGCGGCGUGCUUAACACAUGCAAGUCGAACGAGGACGGAAUAUAGCUUACUAUAUUUGUCAGCUAAGUGGCGCACGGGUGAGUAAUGUAUAGAUAACCUGCCCUUAAGAAAGGAAUAACAGUUGGAAACGACUGCUAAUGCCCUAUAUGCCUUUAAUACAUAAGUAUGCAAGGGAAACGCUUUAGUGCUUAAGGAUGGGUCUGUAUGGUAUCAGCUUGUUGGUGAGGUAAUGGCUCACCAAGGCUAUGACGCCUAACUGGUUUGAGAGGAUGAUCAGUCACACUGGAACUGAGACACGGUCCAGACUCCUACGGGAGGCAGCAGUGGGGAAUAUUGCACAAUGGACGAAAGUCUGAUGCAGCAACGCCGCGUGGAGGAUGACACAUUUCGGUGCGUAAACUCCUUUUAUAUAGGAAGAUAAUGACGGUACUAUAUGAAUAAGCACCGGCUAACUCCGUGCCAGCCGCCGCAGUAA